rnacentral:sRNA from 1 species
CCUUAGCCCCGAUAGCAGCGGAAAUCCUUGUGGGCCGGGUUUCGGCACACAAGAUUGAAGCGGAUAGCGGGAUUAGCU